rnacentral:tRNA from 1 species
GCAUCUCGCUUACACCGAGAAAACGUCCGUGAAAACCAGACUAUUUCGA